rnacentral:rRNA from 1 species
UACGUAGGUGGCAAGCGUUGUCCGGAUUUACUGGGCGUAAAGAGCGCGCAGGCGGUCGUUUAAGUCGAAUGUGAAAGCCCCCGGCUCAACUGGGGAGGGUCAUUCGAUACUGAUCGACUUGAAGGCAGGAGAGGGUAGUGGAAUUCCCGGUGUAGUGGUGAAAUGCGUAGAUAUCGGGGGGAACACCAGUGGCGAAGGCGACUACCUGGCCUGUUCUUGACGCUGAGGCGCGAAAGCUGGGGGAGCAAACGGG